GCCAACUGGGGACUGAAAAAAUUCAGAGAGAGAGAACCAUGAAAGUCAAGGGCAUUGUAAGGAUGAAUUUAGAACCUCCAAUGACAGCAGGCCCUCAUUUGGAUGCUUGGAUUCUAAAAUGUUUGCUAAAAGUUGUCCCAGCACUAGAAGACAUUCUAAGCCCAAGCUUAUUCCAAGUCUUGCAAGGACAUUGAAGUUGAUGCAGCUUUCUGGCCCAGAUGGACCUGGGGAAGAACCAAGUAGGAUACUGAGUCUGUGUGGGGAUGCUGGCCAGGGUCCUGAGUCCAGAAGACUGUCCCGCUGGCUCAAAUUGGUGUGCCUUCCAGCAGAUCUUUAAGUAGGUGGGAUAGGUCACCAAAUUCAGUAAGAGAGACUGGAGUUUGAGACUGAGAUUCUCCCAGGAUCUUCUGUGGGAAGGAGGCUGAUGGGCUUAUCUUUUUGGCUAAGAUGGACGUGCAUCACCCAGCAGGUCUCUGCACCAGUGGUGUAAUUCCUCAACUUCAAAAGGAGGAGCAAAAUCUGAGACUAUACUCUCCCAGGAUCUACUGUGAAAUGGAGGCUGCUGUGCCUAUCACACUGGCUCAAGUGGGCAUGUGUCUCCCAGCAGGUCCUUGCACAAAUGGAAAGUUUUCCAACUGCAGCAGGAGAGGCUACAGAAUAGACUGGGCUCCCAUGGGAUCUACUGUGGGACAGAGGCUGAAGAAGCUGGUCUUGGCUCAGAGGAAUGUGUGUAACCCAACAAGUUUCUGCACAGGAGGUGGUAGAAAAAGAAUACAGCACAUCAUCAGGAAUUAGUUUAAACUGGGACGUGGAUGAAGCUGGAAACUAUCAUUCGC
rnacentral:lncRNA from 1 species